rnacentral:rRNA from 1 species
UUCCGGUUGAUCCUGCCGGAGGCUACCGCUAUUGGAGUUCGAUUAAGCCAUGCGAGUCGAGAGUCUUAGGGACUCGGCGUACCGCUCAGUAACACGUGGGUAACCUGCCCUAUGCUGGGGAAUAACCUCGGGAAACUGAGAAUAAUGCCCCAUAGUCCACUACGCCUGGAACGGUGAGUGGAUCAAAGCUCCGGCGGCAUAGGAUGGGCCUGCGCCGUAUCAGGUUGUAGGGGGUGUAAAGUACCCUCUAGCCAUCAACGCGUACGGGUGUUGGGAGACAUUGCCCGGAGAUGGAUUCUGAGACACGAAUCCAGACCCUACGGGGUGCAGCAGGCGCGAAAACUUGGCAAUGCGAGCAAUCGUGACCAGGGAACUCCAAGUGCUUGGGGUAAGACCCAAGCUUUUCUUGACUCUUCAAAGGUCUUGGAAUAAGGGGUGGGUAAGGACGGUGCCAGCCGCCGCGGUAAUACCGGCGCCUCAAGUGGUAGUCGCUUUUAUUGGGCCUAAAACGUCCGUAGCCGGUCUGGUGCAUUCGUGGGUAAAUCAACCCGCUCAACGGGUUGAAUUCUGCGAGCACGGCCAGACUUGGGACCGGGAGAGGUGUGGGGUACUCUCAGGGUAGGGGUAAAAUCCUGUCAUCCUGAGAGGACCACCUGUUGCGAAGGCGCCACACUAGAACGGAUCCGACGGUCAGGGACGAAACCUAGGGGCACGAACCGGAUUAGAUACCCGGGUAGUCCUAGGUGUAAACGCUGUGGACUUGAUGUUGGGGGCGCUCCGAGCGCUUUCAGUGUCGAAGCGAAGGUGAUAAGUCCACUGCCUGGGGAGUACGGUCGCAAGGCUGAAACUUAAAGGAAUUGGCGGGGGAGCACUGCAACCGGGGGAGUGUGCGGAUUAAUUGGAAUUCACGCCGGA